rnacentral:rRNA from 1 species
GACGAACGCUGGCGGCGUGCUUAACACAUGCAAGUCGAACGGAAAGGCCCUGCUUUUGUGGGGUGCUCGAGUGGCGAACGGGUGAGUAACACGUGAGUAACUUGCCCUUGACUUUGGGAUAACUUCAGGAAACUGGGGCUAAUACCGGAUAGGAGCUCCUGCUGCAUGGUGGUGGUUGGAAAGUUUCGGCGGUUGGGGACGGACUCGCGGCUUAUCAGCUUGUUGGUGGGGUAGUGGCUUACCAAGGCUUUGACGGGUAGCCGGCCUGAGAGGGUGACCGGCCACAUUGGGACUGAGAUACGGCCCAGACUCCUACGGGAGGCAGCAGUGGGGAAUAUUGCACAAUGGGCGGAAGCCUGAUGCAGCAACGCCGCGUGCGGGAUGACGGCCUUCGGGUUGUAAACCGCUUUCGCCUGUGACGAAGCGUGAGUGACGGUAAUGGGUAAAGAAGCACCGGCUAACUACGUG